UCCAAACACAAUCAACAAUCUCAAAUCACUAUCUCCCUCAAUCUCCCCUCACUAAUCAAACUCUGUAACAAUCAUCUUGAAGUUGGUUCCUUGAAUCUCAUCUAUUUCUCUAUUUCGUGUCACUCAUUGAAAAACUAUGGCUCCUGAGACUCGUUUCGCCGGAAAAACAAACAAGGAAGGUGCACCGGAGAAGAAGAAGAAGAAGAACGAGUCUGCGGCGGAGAAGAAGAAAGCUGUGGCGGAGAAGAAGAAAGCUGCGGCGGUGAAGAGGAGGAGAGAAGCCGUGAAAAAAAAAGAGAUGCAGCAAAGAAGAAGACUGAAACCUCAGAAAAGAAGAGGAAGCAAGACUCGUCUUCGUCGGAGUCUUCAUCCAAUCCAACCAAGCGGCGUCGGACCGCAUCUUCACCAGAACAACAUUCCGAUCCCGAUCAUUCCCCGGCACCAUCAGCGGAAUUGCUUUCUCAGGAUGAUAGAGAGGGUACGCCAAGCCCAUCAUUUCCGAUUGAGCCACAAAAAGCACCUACUCAAACACCCAGUGAGGCGGAGAAUCCACUGCAAGCUCCAAUAACUUCUAACAACAGAGAGGAUCCCAACAGAGAGUCACACUCACCAGAGGCUGCCAUUAACAAUGAAGCGCAAAGAACGAUUGGAUCUAACAACAGUGAUUCAAACCCACCUGAGGCUGCCAUUGGAUCUGCUACCAUUGACAAUGACGCGCCAAGAACGGCUGGGGAGGAGAAUAUGGCCGUAGAACCAAUGAGACCUGUUGGUUUUUUUCUUCAAGCCGAGUGAUUAUUGGACGGCUUGCAAGCUCUCCUCAAGGUGCCACCAACACGAUUUUCUUGAGACGAUUAAAGACUUUAAGGAGUCAGAGAAGAGUUGGUUUGAGAAUCACCCUCAGUUCAAGCAUUUAUUCCACAUGGAUUGUUGCGAGAAAAGAAAGGUUCAGGGAUUGUGGAUGUUGCUACUUCGUUGUAU